rnacentral:rRNA from 1 species
UACGUAGGGGGCAAGCGUUGUCCGGAUUUACUGGGCGUAAAGGGCGCGUAGGCGGCGUGUUAAGUCAGCUGUGAAAUCUCCGAGCUUAACUCGGAACGGUCAGCUGAUACUGAUGUGCUAGAGUGCAGAAGGGGCAAUCGGAAUUCUUGGUGUAGCGGUGAAAUGCGUAGAUAUCAAGAGGAACACCUGAGGUGAAGACGGGUUGCUGGGCUGACACUGACGCUGAGGCGCGAAAGCCAGGGGAGCAAACGGG